CUUUAUUGGUAGGCCUGAAUUCUGCAUCAAAUGAUAUCAGUAAAAAAAAAACUGGAUUAUGUUCUCAGUGCUCUAAAUGCUGAGCUUUUAAAAAUAUUUUUAUUAUAAGAAAUAAUCAUUAAGGAUUACAUAAGCAUACCAACUAUAAAGGAUUAUGAACGAAUAGGCUUAUUUUUUAAGGUAUUUGCAGAAAACAUUUACU